AUGAUCAAAUUUAUGGAAUAUUUCACCGGAUGUGCACUAUCUUACCCAAUUACACAGGAAAUGAUUACUUCAUUUAGGUUUAAGUUAGCCAGCAUACUAUUAUGUUGGAAAACAAACACUGCAGCAAGGACUACAAUCGUUGAAGAAAGUAACGAUGACACUAAUGGAGAUCCUGAUGAUGUUCAAAUAUUAGAAAGCCUAGAUGAUAUAAAAAUAUCAAAGAAAAAAAUCCCAUUAUCUGUUGAAAAUAAAUACAGAUCACUAAUAUCUAUUCUUUCUAAUAUGAGUGUACAUGAAUUAACAGCUGGACUCUGUAGCUUCAUUAAAUCAAUCAAUUACACUGAGAUUUUAGAGAAAGUAUGGAUCCAAAGUUCAAAGCCAUAUCCGAUUAGCUUGUCUCUCAGAAAACUACAAGAAAUGCUGAAGGAUGAUUUACCCAUGGACAAAGAUUGCUUUAAUUUGGUUGUACGGAAGAUUAUGUUUGAUGACAUCCAAAUGGCACAAAAAACAAAACAUUCAAUAGCAAAACAUUAUCUCGACAUGAAAUUUUGGAUGACUACUGAUUUUGGACGGCACCCAGAAUUCCGUAAGAAGUUAGAUGCUGAACAACUAGCAAAUACUGUUCGUAAUUGGCCUGGUAUAAAAUAUAAUGUUUCAACAUGCAAAACGAUUCAUAUUCCAGUACAAUCCAACAGUGAUUUCAUUCUAUUCACAUUGGACAAAGAUACCAGAACUGUGUACAUUUUGGACCCUGCUCCUAUUAAUCCCAUGUACCGAUGGAACCCACUCGCAAAAUAUGUGCGCAAAAUUAUAUGGAUUGCAGAACACUUACAAAAGGCAAUGUCAAAAGCAUGCCCUGGGUCUAUAUGGAAUGAGGAUAUUCUCCUAUGGCAUCAAAAAAUCCUAGAUGAUAUUCCGGUUUACAACAGGGAACUGUCCGGUUAUGUUGUUCCUCUGUUCAUGUCCACAUGGGAAAAUGAAAGACCACAUUUGCCAAUUUUAAAGAAUGGAUAUGAACUCAGAAAAAUUAUUUUGGGCCAACUCCUAACAUUCAAGGACAAUGAAAGUGAAGAUAACAUGCCUGCCGGUGUACUUGAAUUCAUCAAUUGUAUCAGGAAAAUCCAA
rnacentral:rRNA from 1 species